GACGUAGGGCGCGAGCGUUGUCCGGAUUUAUUGGGCGUAAAGAGCUCUAGGCGGCUUGUCGCGUCGGCUGUGAAACCCGCGGCUCAACUGUGGGCGGGCAGCUGAUACGGGCAGGCUGGAGUUCGGUAGGGGAGACUGGAAUUCCUGGUGUAGCGGUGAAAUGCGCAGAUAUCAGGAGGAACACCGGUGGCGAAGGCGGAUCUCUGGGCCAUUACUGACGCUGAGGAGCGAAAGCGUGGGGAGCGAACAGG
rnacentral:rRNA from 1 species